UAAAGAGAGUGCAGGCGGUUUUCUAAGUCUGAUGUGAAAGCCUUCGGCUUAACCGGAGAAGUGCAUCGGAAACUGGAUAACUUGAGUGCAGAAGAGGGUAGUGGAACUCCAUGUGUAGCGGUGGAAUGCGUAGAUAUAUGGAAGAACACCAGUGGCGAAGGCGGCUACCUGGUCUGCAACUGACGCUGAGACUCGAAAGCAUGGGUAGCGAACAGGAUUAGAUACCCUGGUAGUCCAUGCCGUAAACGAUGAGUGCUAGGUGUUGGAGGGUUUCCGCCCUUCAGUGCCGGAGCUAACGCAUUAAGCACUCCCGCCUGGAGACGCCGACAGCAAGGUUGAAACUCAAAGGAAUUGACGGGGGCCCGCACAAGCGGUGGAGCAUGUGGUUUAAUUCGAAGCUACGCGAAGAACCUUACCAGGUCUUGACAUCUUGCGCCAACCCUAGAGAUAGGGCGUUUCCUUCGGGAACGCAAUGACAGGUGGGUGCAUGGGUCGUCGUCAGCUCGUGUCGUGAGAUGUUGGGGUUAAGUCCCCGCAACGAGCGCAACCCUUUGUUACUAGUUGGCAGCAUUUAAGUUGGGGCACUCUAGUGAGACUGCCGGGUGACAACCGGAAGGAAGGGGGGGACGACGUCAGAUCAUCAUGCCCCCUUAUGACCCUGGGGCUACACACGUGCUACAAUGGGACGGGUACAAACGAGUCGCGAACUCGCGAGGGGCAAGCAAAAUCUCUUAAAACCGUUCUCAGUUUCGGACUGCAGGCUGCAACUC
rnacentral:rRNA from 1 species